rnacentral:rRNA from 1 species
GAGUUUGAUCCUGGUUCAGGAUGAAUGCUGGCGGUAUGCUUUAUACAUGCAAGUCGUACGAGAGUUUUUAACUCAAGUGGCGGACGGGUGAGUAACACGUAAGAAUUUGCCUUUAGGAGGGGGAUAACAACUGGAAACGGUUGCUAAUACCCCAUAUGCAUUUGAGUGAAAUGGAUUUUUCCGCCUAAAGAGAAGCUUGCGGCUGAUUAGCUUGUUGGUAAGGUAAUGGCUUACCAAGGCGACGAUCAGUAUCUGGUUUGAGAGGACGAUCAGACACACUGGAACUGAGACACGGUCCAGACUCCUACGGGAGGCAGCAGUAGGGAAUUUUCCGCAAUGGGCGAAAGCCUGACGGAGCAAUACCGCGUGAGGGAUGACGGCCUAUGGGUUGCAAACCUCUUUUUUCAGGGAGGAACAAAAUGACGUGUACCUGAAGAAUAAGCAUCGGCUAACUCCGUGCCAGCAGCCGCGGUAAGACGGAGGAUGCAAGUGUUAUCCGGAAUCACUGGGCGUAAAGCGUCUGUAGGUGGUCAAAUAAGUCAACUGUUAAAUCUUGAG